AACGCUAGCUACAGGCUUAACACAUGCAAGUCGAGGGGCAGCAUGAACUUAGCUUGCUAAGUUUGAUGGCGACCGGCGCACGGGUGAGUAACGCGUAUCCAACCUUCCGUACACUCAGGAAUAGCCUUUCGAAAGAAAGAUUAAUACCUGAUGGUAUGAUGAGAUUGCAUGGUAUCAUCAUUAAAGAUUCAUCGGUGUACGAUGGGGAUGCGUUCCAUUAGAUAGUAGGCGGGGUAACGGCCCACCUAGUCGACGAUGGAUAGGGGUUCUGAGAGGAAGGUCCCCCACAUUGGAACUGAGACACGGUCCAAACUCCUACGGGAGGCAGCAGUGAGGAAUAUUGGUCAAUGGGCGCGAGCCUGAACCAGCCAAGUAGCGUGAAGGAUGAAGGUCCUACGGAUUGUAAACUUCUUUUAUAAGGGAAUAAAGUCACCCACGUGUGGGUGUUUGUAUGUACCUUAUGAAUAAGCAUCGGCUAACUCCGUGCCAGCAGCCGCGGUAAUACGGAGGAUGCGAGCGUUAUCCGGAUUUAUUGGGUUUAAAGGGAGCGUAGACGGGUCGUUAAGUCAGCUGUGAAAGUUUGAGGCUCAACCUUAAAAUUGCAGUUGAUACUGGCGUCCUUGAGUACGGUUGAGGCAGGCGGAAUUCGUGGUGUAGCGGUGAAAUGCUUAGAUAUCACGAAGAACUCCGAUUG
rnacentral:rRNA from 1 species